AUCGAAUGAACAAGAUUGAUUGCAAUGGACAAUUUAGAUCAACAUAGAAUGGGUAUAAAUACUUCGCAUCACACAGGAACCCGAACCAUAGCCGUCAGCUCAGCUGGAGAAAAAGAACUAGACACCCGAGAAGAAGGCUAACCGUCGACCGUCGCUGCACCAGAGCCACCGUCGACUGCCAAAAAAGGUAAAAAUUUCUCAUACUCGCUCGAA
rnacentral:lncRNA from 1 species